rnacentral:rRNA from 1 species
GUGGGGAAUAUUGGGCAAUGGGCGAAAGCCUGACCCAGCAACGCCGCGUGAAGGAAGAAGGUCUUCGGAUUGUAAACUUCUUUUAUGAGGGACGAAGGACGUGACGGUACCUCAUGAAUAAGCCACGGCUAACUACGUGCCAGCAGCCGCGGUAAUACGUAGGUGGCAAGCGUUAUCCGGAUUUACUGGGUGUAAAGGGCGCGUAGGCGGGGAUGCAAGUCAGAUGUGAAAUCUAUGGGCUUAACCCAUAAACUGCAUUUGAAACUGUAUCUCUUGAGUGCUGGAGAGGUAGACGGAAUUCCUUGUGUAGCGGUGAAAUGCGUAGAUAUAAGGAAGAACACCAGUGGCGAAGGCGGUCUACUGGACAGUAACUGACGCUGAGGCGCGAAAGCGUGGGGAGCAAACAGG